AGUGAACGCUGGCGGUAGACCUAACACAUGCAAGUCGAACGGCAGCACAGUAAGAGCUUGCUCUUACGGGUGGUGAGUGGCGGACGGGUGAGGAAUACAUCGGAAUCUACUUUUUCGUGGGGGAUAACGUAGGGAAACUUACGCUAAUACCGCAUACGACCUACGGGUGAAAGCAGGGGAUCUUCGGACCUUGCGCGAUUGAAUGAGCCGAUGUCGGAUUAGCUAGUUGGCGGGGUAAAGGCCCACCAAGGCGACGAUCCGUAGCUGGUCUGAGAGGAUGAUCAGCCACACUGGAACUGAGACACGGUCCAGACUCCUACGGGAGGCAGCAGUGGGGAAUAUUGGACAAUGGGCGCAAGCCUGAUCCAGCCAUACCGCGUGGGUGAAGAAGGCCUUCGGGUUGUAAAGCCCUUUUGUUGGGAAAGAAAAGCAGCAGGUUAAUACCCCGCUGUUCUGACGGUACCCAAAGAAUAAGCACCGGCUAACUUCGUA
rnacentral:rRNA from 1 species